UGGAGACAAAACACUUUUCUGGAUUUUAAAGGACUUGUUGGUUAAUUACCUCAGACGACAGCACAAGCAUAGAAAAAGAUCGAUAAAUAUGGUGAAUCCUGUGUUCUGGGCUAUGCUGGUCUGCAUGACCGUCCUGCUGAUUGAGCAAGGUGACCCAGGUGUUUUUUUUUUGUUUUUUUUGUUUUUUUUCUUUCUUCCCCCCCUUCUCACCGUCUCUUCUCCCCUUUGGUUUUCUUUCUCUCCCUCUCUUUCUUUCAUUCUUUCUCCCUGUCCUGUCCCGUUUGUAGCAACUGAAGAUAAAAUAAAUUCAUAAUUAUAAUAAAGGUCAAUCAAAUGGACCAAUAUGGCAAGGCCAUGAUGAUCCACUUGGUAAAAUAAAUCCGCUUGGCAUCUUUCUUGGCCUUAAGACAACAAUUCUGAUGGCUAAAGAUCCAAACGGGACACAAAAAAAAAAAAAAAAAAAAAAAAGCUGUAAGCUAAUAAUAAUAAUAAUGGAUUGAUAUAGCGCUUUUCAAGGCACCCAAAGCGCUUUACAAUGCCACUAUUCAUGCACUCUCACAUUAACACACUGGUGGAGGCAAGCUACGGUUGUAGCCACAGCUGCCCUGGGGCAGACUGACAGAAGCGAGGCUGCCAUAUCGCGCCAUCGGCCCCUCUGGCCAACACCAGUAGGCAAGUAGGGUAAAGUGUCUUGCCCAAGGACACAACGACCAGGACAGAGAGCCCGGGGAUCGAACCGGCGACCUUCCGGUUACAGAUACGCUUCCCAACCCCCUGAGCCACGGUCGCCCCUAAUGAUAGUUAUAUAAGAGCAGACGCAUGCUGGUGCAAUAAGCUGUACGUUUUACGUACAAUGGAUGCAUGAUCUGAUUAGUCGACUAAUCGCAAAAAUAAUCGGUGACUAGUCGACUAUCAAAAUAAUCGUUUGUGGCAGCCCUAUUCAACUUGAAAUAUUCAGUGUAUCACAGUGUGAUCUGUAAAAAAAUACUAGGUUUAGAAGACAAGAGGCUGUGUUUGUGUGUGUGUGUGUGUGGUAGGUAGAUAGAGAGAUCGAUGGGGCCAGUGUCUGUGACAUUCAAUAGUCGCCUCAUUGGUGUACACCAAUUAUACAACACUCCAAACACGCUAAAUGUCACAAAUCACAAAACUCACUAUCGAUAUCACUGUUUUUCAUCACUGUCACCACUUCCCUCUUCCUAAGCAACCAAAUGCUAUGUGUUACCAAACAAUUUUCCUACCGGGAUAAUAGAAAAUUGUUUUGUUUUUUUCUUCCUGCAACAAACAUAAUGACAGUAUUCAAAACACGGUGAUCCCGCAAGGCUGCAUAUUAAAUCUUUUAAAUUGGUCAUGUGAUUUUGAGAUGCUUGCAACUUCUCUCAACUUAAAAAGAUCUUUGGCUAAACACACAGUACAUUUCUGCACUUCUUCUUACAAUAAACAGUAAUAGAAGCUUUUAGGCAUGUAUAUGUGGCACUCCCAGUUUCUUCUAUGUUUUAGACGGAUGGUCUGAUAUCCUCGUGUUGGUGUUGUUCCCACAUCAUCAUAAUAAAUGUUGUUCCAGGUUCAACGUUGCAAGUGACCAAUCAUAUUGUUGUGACGUCAUACUUUUGCAAGCCAAGCAAUUCAUUCAUUUAUGACAUUCCAAUGUUG
ensembl:lncRNA